CCUACGGGAGGCAGCAGUGAGGAAUAUUGGUCAAUGGGCGCGAGCCUGAACCAGCCAAGUCGCGUGAGGGAUGAAGGUUCUAUGGAUCGUAAACCUCUUUUAUAAGGGAAUAAUGUGUGGGACGUGUCCUAUUUUGUAUGUACCUUAUGAAUAAGGAUCGGCUAACUCCGUGCCAGCAGCCGCGGUAAUACGGAGGAUCCGAGCGUUAUCCGGAUUUAUUGGGUUUAAAGGGUGCGUAGGCGGCCUUGUAAGUCAGCGGUGAAAGUCUGUGGCUCAACCAUAGAAUUGCCGUUGAAACUGGGGGGCUUGAGUAUGUUUGAGGCAGGCGGAAUGCGUGGUGUAGCGGUGAAAUGCUUAGAUAUCAGGCAGAACACCGAUUGCGAAGGCAGCCUGCCAGGCCAUGACUGACGCUGAGGCACGAAAGCGUAGGGAUCAAACAGGAUUAGAUACCCUUGUAGUC
rnacentral:rRNA from 1 species